AGAGCCUGGUUUUGGGUAGGAGUGAGGCGGCAGCUUGUCGUUUCCCGGCCCGCACCCGCCCUUGCGCUGACACCGCGGGCCUUCCUUUGCUCUGGGAACGAGCGUGGGGAGCCCUGUUCACCCUCACACCCCGGCUCCAGAGCGGCGCGGAGCACUCCAUGUUUGCUAAAUGAAAAUGAAGUCUCGGCGCGAGCGCCACCCAAACGGCGGCGUAGUUGCUUGAGAACCGCGGAGGCAACCGCUUGGGAGGGCGCCCCGACCCCGAAGCUGCUUCUCCAGGCGCCCGAGGCGGAGAGAAGGCACUGGGGUCUCCGUCUCCACCAGUGAUUUCUGGUGAAACAGGAAACAAAACCCGGGAAACAAAUGGGACGAAAUGUUGGCGGUUUUGAUGCUGGAUGAUGGGAAUAUGGGCGUGUGUUUUGUACCUUUCUGUUAUCUUCAGUUUUCUCAAAACACGAAAAACAGACUAAGAACAGCGCAUAGAAAACAUUGGGGCACAACUAAAGCUCAUAAAUGCACACGUUUUCAUAACCUGACCGAGGUCCAUGCUGCUGUAGCGCAUACCCCCAAGAACAGAGGGCCGCGUGUUCUUAUGGCCCCGGUGCCGGCCCCCAAGCGGGGUUCCCGCAGGAGAUAGGGCCUGGCUCCCGCUUCAGCACCGCGUGGCCUGGAGUGCAGUUCUGGCGGCCAAGAUCUGAGGGCUGUAGCCCGUGCCCUCACCAGGAUCCCAGACUUAGAGUCCCUGCCCUCCCCGGGAUCCCAGGGCUCGAUCCUGUGCCCUCCCCGGGAUCCCAGGGCUGGAGCCCAUGCCCUCCCCAGGAUCCCAGGGCGCGAGCUGGUGGCUUCUCAAGCGGAGUUUUGCCUGCUUGUUACAUUAGUGAAUGUAGGACCACUUGAGUAAAGGACCAAACCUUUAUUCUUUUGCUUUUCUGCCAUUGAAACCAUUCAACCCAUGCUGAUUAAUACCUACUGUUUGCCAGGUAAUAUGCCCCUUGCAGAAAGACGCAAACAGCUAAACCCCAAAUGGGAUGUUGUACAGGACAAAUGACCGUGUCAAUUAAUACCAAUAAUUAAGAUAAUAGUAUAAUUAUGAUGAUAAUAUAAUUAAUUCGAGCCUGGAGGAAACAAAAGAAAGUGGAACUGAACUAUUAGAGAAUAAAUGAGCUUAAAAGACGUCAUUGAAUGGAAUGUGUGGAACUUACUUGGAUCAUGAUAGAAUAAACUAGCUUAAACGGGGCAUUUGAGAGAUAGGUGGGGGAAAUUGGAAUAUAAAGCUGGGUAUUAGAUGAAAACUGGGAGUAUCGAUACUUUUGGUAGGGAGCAGUAACGGCUGGUGGGUAAAAUGUCCUAACCUUUAGAGAUGCAAACGGAAGUAUUUACAGCAAAUUGCCCCUAUGUCUGGUAUUCGCUUUGUAAAUUCUCCAUGAAAAAAAAUUCAAGGACAGGUGAAACACAAGUGGCAAAUGUUAGUAACGGUUGAAGCUGGGUGAUGAAUGCCAUAGGAGUUAUGACGAUUUUCUUUUGCAUAUGUUUGUAGUUUUCUGCGAUAAAAUUUAUUUUAUUUUAUAUAUAUAUUUUGAGACAGAGUCUCAUUCUGUUGCCCAGGCUGGAGUGCAGUGGCGCGAUCUCAGCUCACUGCAAACUCUGCCUCCCGGUUCAAGCGAUUCUCAUGCCUCAGCCUCCCUAGUAGCUGGUAUUAGAGGUGUGUGCCACCAUGCUUGGCUAAUUUUUCGUCUUUUUAGUAGAGACGGGGUUUCACCAUGUUACCCAGGCUGGUCUCGAACUGCUGAGUUCAAGCAGUCCGGCCUCCUCA
rnacentral:lncRNA from 1 species